CAUAGAACUACCUAGAAAAUAUUAUUCCUUAGUGACUUCAGAACUUUUACAGAAUAUAAAAGGAAGAAGAGUUCUUAAGAAUGAACUGUCAACUUCUCGCUUUAUGUUCACAAGCAAGUAGACUGUGGACCCCAAUAUGUUUUACUACCUUUAAUCAGGGCUUGAGAAUACUGCUCACCAAAGGUGACUGGGGAAGUUUUAUGUGGUUGAAAGGUAUACAAUGAAUCACUUUCAUUAAAAGAAAAUAUUAGUCCGUAAUGCUGAACUAGAGCAAUCCAAACUGUUUUUUCUUACAUCUGCAGAUAGAGUGCUCCUUUGUCUCUUCUAGUGUGUGUGUGUGUGUGU